CUCCGUUUCCUCGUUUGGAAACAGGUGGAGCAUGGCGGAGCGCGUAUGCAACGCACCUACAGCAGGAUGUCUAAAUUCAGCUCUACAACAAAAUGCAAGCUAUCAACACUUUGAACAAGUCUUCUUCCACAAAGAUGAUGCUAUGUGACAAGCACACCACAACAAAGAAGAGUGUGCUGACCUGAAAUGACUGCUGGAACGUUCUCUGUUGCAUAAACUGAAGGACUUGUGUAUGCUCAGCAUGAAAAGUCUAUUAAUAGAAGAGACAAACCCGAGGAGUUGAGCCUCCAAAAAUAGCAGUUUCUUCAUCUUUCUUUAAUAUACUUAUGCAAAACUUCCAGAAAUAGAAACUAUUCAAAUAUUUAUCAAUUUUGAACGCAUCUCUGGAAUUGGUGAGAACACAGAAAUAUGCCUUGUAACAAAAUAAAAAUAUUUCUAUUUUCUUA